UAUGUACAUGUUUGCAGUGUUAAUGUAGUGGAUCCCAAAUUCCCAAUAGAACUCCACAGUUAAGUGUGCUUGGGCUAGAGUAGUAUUGGGAUGGGUGACCUCCCCAAAAGUCCCAGUGUUUUACAUGC
rnacentral:rRNA from 1 species